rnacentral:rRNA from 1 species
AUUGAACGCUGGCGGCAUGCCUUACACAUGCAAGUCGAACGGCAGCACGGGAGCAAUCCUGGUGGCGAGUGGCGAACGGGUGAGUAAUAUAUCGGAACGUGCCCAGUCGUGGGGAUAACGUAGCGAAAGCUACGCUAAUACCGCAUACGAUCUACGGAUGAAAGCGGGGGAUCGCAAGACCUCGCGCGAUUGGAGCGGCCGAUAUCAGAUUAGGUAGUUGGUGAGGUAAAGGCUCACCAAGCCGACGAUCUGUAGCUGGUCUGAGAGGACGACCAGCCACACUGGGACUGAGACACGGCCCAGACUCCUACGGGAGGCAGCAGUGGGGAAUAUUGGACAAUGGGCGCAAGCCUGAUCCAGCAAUGCCGCGUGAGUGAUGAAGGCC